AGGACAGAGAGAUUGGCAAGGAGAGAAACAGAAAAAAAAGAGAAAGAAACAGACAUAACGAUAGAGAGAGGUGGAAAGAGAAAGAAACAGACAUAACGAUAGAGAGAGGUGGAAAGAGAAAGAAACAGACAUAACGAUAGAGAGAGGUGGAAAGAGAAAGAAACAGACAUAACGAUAGAGAGAGGUGGAAAGAGAAAGAAACAGACAUAACGAUAGAGAGAGGUGGAAAGAGAAAGAAACAGACAUAACGAUAGAGAGAGGUGGAAAGAGAAAGAAACAGACAUAACGAUAGAGAGAGGUGGAAAGAGAAAGAAACAGACAUAACGAUAGAGAGAGGUGGAAGGAGAAAGAAACAGACACAACGAUAGAGAGAGGUGGAAAGAGAAAGAAACAGACACAACGAUAGAGAGAGGUGGAAAGAGAAAGAAACAGACACAACGAUAGAGAGAGGUGGAAAGAGAAAGAAACAGACAUAACGAUAGAGAGAGGUGGAAGGAGAAAGAAACAGACACAACGAUAGAGAGAGGUGGAAGGAGAAAGAAACAGACACAACGAUAGAGAGAGGUGGAAGGAGAAAGAAACAGACACAACGAUAGAGAGAGGUGGAAGGAGAAAGAAACAGACACAACGAUAGAGAGAGGUGGAAGGAGAAAGAAACAGACACAACGAUAGAGAGAGGUGGAAGGAGAAAGAAACAGACACAACGAUAGAGAGAGGUGGAAAGAGAAAGAAACAGACACAACGAUAGAGAGAGGUGGAAAGAGAAAGAAACAGACACAACGAUAGAGAGAGGUGGAAAGAGAAAGAAACAGACACAACGAUAGAGAGAGGUGGAAAGAGAAAGAAACAGACACAACGAUAGAGAGAGGUGGAAAGAGAAAGAAACAGACACAACGAUAGAGAGAGGUGGAAGGAGAAAGAAGAAACAGGCAUCAAACAAUGUUGCCUCAGGUUCCAUUACUCACGGUACCAAAAAAUAAUGUGAA